rnacentral:lncRNA from 1 species
GAAUUUAAGGAUGAGUGCAUGGUUUAAUCUAUUAUUUUUACAAUUUAUGAAUUAUUUGAUAUUUAUUUCAAAACAGUACUUUAGCUGUAAAAUUGUCAAAACUUUAAAACUCCUAUUUACAUAACACCAUGGUUGUGAAUAUAAAUAUUUGAUUUGCAUUCAAUAUCCCCCUUCCCACCCCCUGACCCAAGAUUAGAUGUGUAUUCAAUAUCCCUCCUCCCCCACCC